rnacentral:rRNA from 1 species
ACGCGUGAGAAUCUGCCUAGAGGUUGGGGACAACCACUGGAAACGGUGGCUAAGACCCAAUGUGCAAGUUCUGUGAAAGAUUUAUCGCCUCUAGAUGAGCUCGCGUCUGAUUAGCUAGUUGGUGAGGUAAAGGCUCACCAAGGCUCCGAUCAGUAGCUGGUCUGAGAGGAUGACCAGCCACACUGGGACUGAGACACGGCCCAGACUCCUACGGGAGGCAGCAGUGGGGAAUUUUCCGCAAUGGGCGAAAGCCUGACGGAGCAAGACCGCGUGAGGGAGGAAGGCUCUUGGGUUGUAAACCUCUUUUCUCAGGGAAGAACUCCAUGACGGUACCUGAGGAAUCAGCCUCGGCUAACUCCGUGCCAGCAGCCGCGGUAAUACGGAGGAGGCAAGCGUUAUCCGGAAUUAUUGGGCGUAAAGCGUCCGUAGGUGGUCAUGUAAGUCGGUCGUCAAAGCCAGAGGCUCAACCUCUGUCCGGCGGUGGAAACUGCAAGACUAGAGAGAGGUAGGGGUAGAGGGAAUUCCCAGUGUAGCGGUGAAAUGCGUAGAGAUUGGGAAGAACAUCGGUGGCGAAAGCGCUCUACUGGACCUUUUCUGACACUGAUGGACGAAAGCUAGGGGAGCGAAUGGGAUUAAU